UGGAAGUAAAAGUGUAACAAGGUUUCUCUCCUGCCGAGUGCCAGUGGAACUGGCCCUGCCAGCGUCGCCGCGACUCUAAAAAUUGGCGUUUGCCGCAAGUCCUCCGGGGCGACACUGCACGAUUGACGGGAAUGCCUGCCUUCAGGCAACCCGCAGCCCCUACCCGGGGUUCACAGAUCAAGUGGCAGUGGGCUUUCGAGCUUAAGAUAUGACCGGCCCCAAGGCGCGAGCCCUGGGAACAGCGUCCGUAGGUGAACCUGCGGAAGGAUCAUUA
rnacentral:rRNA from 1 species